CCCAGAUAUCGGUGCUUCGAUGGUACCGGCUAGCAGAGCGCAGCCAGUGGCGAACAGCGCUGUCUAUCGGAAGCCGCACAGCUCUUCAGUUCAUCGACUGUCGUCGUGCGGUGCGCUAACUCGCAAAGGUGCACACCGUGUUCUCCGAGUUACUCCGUGUGGAUCGCAUCAUCCGCUUCGCGAUCACGAGCAUCGGGCACGGAGAGUACCACGACACGCGCACCAGGUGUUCCUAUCGUGUUGAUAAGGUGGUCAGUGAGUGACAGUGGCGAGAUUCCCGCGUAGAAGUGUCAUGUGAAGCAUUUCGUACGGGGUGGCUUUUGGUUUGUUUCUUUUUAGUCUGACGAUGAGAAAUUUUAAGGACAGGAAUACGGAACCCCAGGUUGAUAAAAAAUGAGAUUUCUGGUACUCUUUCCUGUUUAAAUUUAAUCGAUGUUCAAUCGUAAGCUGCUAGAAAAAUUGGAGUCUCGAGAUUUAUGUUCGUUGAUUUCUUUAAUAAAAGUAAUAAUAACAAGAAUAAUAAUUAAAUCUGAACUUGACAAAUUCUAAAUUGAGUAUUUCUUCGAUCUGAAAGUCGAUAGAGACUUUUCAUUUUGGGAAAUAACUAAAGCCGUUUUCUUUUACAUGAAUAUGAUUAUGUUACUAUUUUUGUUGGACACCGUCUGCUACGCUUUCCGCACACUUUAGCAGAGUAAUUUCUCUUGAGCAAACUAUAUCAGAUUGCAUAAUGACUGCUAAGCAUGGAGACGUUUGUUCAUAGUUAGAUCAUUGGGUGCCGGAUUCUGGUUAUACCUGCCCGAUGGAAAUCGGAGCGGAAAGAGUGUCAAAGAAAUUACCUAAGUAGCCAGAAAAUUCUAUGUAUGAGUUACUCUAAUUGCGAGAAUUAAGAAAUAAAGAAAUACUAGGAUUGCUUCGAUCUAUAAAGACAAAGAUAACUGUCUCUGUUAACAGUGACAUCCCAUUAUGGUAUGUCAUCGUCUUCAUCUCACUUUGAUUGAUUUAUGCCAUUUGUCAAUUAAAAUUAUUGUUUGCCGAAUUCGUAAGUAGUAAGAAAAUAUGCAAUUAAAUGAUUGUAAAAUUCUAGUCUAUUCUUAGUUGCAGGAAAUUAAACUGGAUUCAUUUAUUGUAUAUUUCCGUGUUUAUUCGUUAGGACGAAUAGUAAAUUCUUCCUUAUCUACUGUGAUUGCUUGAUAAAAAUCCGUGUUUAUCUGUGUGGCUGAAAUGGGAAGUUUUUUCUAAUUUAUUCUGGAUUUCAGAUUUAAUUAAAAUGCAAAGAUAAUUUUAACACGUGAGAAUAUGUAAAUAUGACUUUAAUAAUAAUUAAAUAGAAUAAAAGAAUAUUUACUUUCCGUAGAAGUAAUGUACCUUCAAAGCCUCGUUACAUAAAAAUAAAACAUGAAUGCUUCCUUCUGGAGGUCCUUCGAGAGGGUUGGAAGAGUGUCGUAAAAACUCAGAUCAUAAAUGCCUUAUUGCUAUCUAGCUUCCUUGCCAACUGUUUGAAUUACUAUGUAUUUUGCCAUAUCUGUUGCAUAUGCAGACAUAAAUUAUUCAAAUGAAAUGAUGGCCAACUCUGUUCGUGAGUCAACUUUCGAAGGACUCUCGUUACUAUUUUUCCACGGGACUCCGAAUUCAGUCUAUUCUCACGCCGGCGAGGUAGUGCUAGUCGCAUUGUCCGUAACUAUCGCUUUCCGUCCUUAAACAGAGGAACUCGUGAAACGAGUGCUUCUCUUUGUUACUCGUCAUUCGAUUACAGAUUAUUAUCUUCGAAAGCAAGCGCUACGUGCGAAGGAUUAUAACAGUAACCGUAUGGUAGCGUGAAAUCAGCAAACGGUCUAGUAAUUAAUAGUGCAUGACCUGGAUAGUAAAUCGUCUGGAUGAUACUUAGUAAUACAUCUGUCCUCUAAUUCGAAUAAAAGAAUUACAUUUAACUGUGUUUGAUCAACUUUGAAGGUACAUAGAGACAGAAUUUUUGUCGUAUGUGUCCUGAAAGUGGCUUUGGGCCUUAAUAAUUUAAGAAAUAAAUAUUGUCUUCUAAUAUUAUUAUGUCAGUAUAAAAUUAAAGAUAAAUAACAAUUUUCUGCCUAGACAAAAUGUUCCAUAAGAACCCAUUGCUAGAGAUAUUAAGAAGACCAUAUUUCGGAUACAUAGACAGAUAGUAUCGAUGAUAAUAAUCAGUGUUGAUGUGUGUAUAUGAAUGUUGGUCAACACACAGGUCGGUCGAAGAUGGUACUCGUGAUACAUUCCUGCUAAAAACAUUGUCGAUGAAACGGUUACUGAUGAUUCCAAGUAGACCCCAUACUGACUCCAUAUUUUCUAUUAGAAUGACUUGCCAUGCAGCAUCCCUGAAGAGGUUGAUUCAAGAAAGUGCCAAUGUCUAUGCAGCAGAGCGUGCUCCACACAUUUUGAAGGAGAUCGGGGUACGGUGAAUGAACUGGCCUACACAGAGCCCAGACCUGAAUUCCAUUGAGAAUCUUUGGAAUAUGUUAUGAUGAUGCCUUCGAGCAAGAAAUUAUAUGCCACGAAACUUCAGAGAGGUGAAUGGUAAAUCCAGCUACCUGGACCAUGAACAGAGAGAGAUAGAUGAAAUUCUCAUCUAAAUAAAAAUGUUUAAAAACGAAUGAAUAACAGAUUACUCGAGUAAAUUUAAAACUGUAAACAGAAUUCCUACUCGUACGUAUAUUAUUCGAUUAUAAUUCGGUCCAACUCUGACCUUGAAGAGAUGGUAAAUUCGAAUCAGAAUACGCUUCGAAAUAGUCACUAGCUGCGGGACACAAUUUUGGAGCGUAGACAUUAAACGAGAAUUGUUUGGAGCGGUUUCAGGUUGCGGGAAAUUAUUGUGUAUUUUAUGAAAUUUAACAAAAUUAUAGUUAUUAAAUUUAACAUUUGAGAAAACUGUAAAUUUACAUAUUUGUUGAGCUAAAUUAUACAGAAUGUGUUCAAAAAGUUUUCUUGUAAAGACAUCUACUAGCUCUGCAGAUUCAGCCACUUACUGUUCAGUAAUUAAUUAGUUAACUACUGUUAAUUACUUCGUGAAAAGAUAAGUAACCAAAGCAUAAUUUCAUAUUUGAAAGGAAAAAUAAAUUUCAUGUAGUGGUAUAUUAAGGAAAUUAGUCAGGAAUGCAAGUGCUCGUUCAAAUAUUUUCUCGCUCUUAAAAUACACACACUUGUUGCAAUUAUUAUGAAAAUAUAAGUCUAUAGAAAUUUUCUGAAAAUUAGUGCGGUUACUAAUUAACACAUUCCGGUAGAUGUAACCUUACAAAUCAAAGUGAAUAAAUAAAGUAACACAUAUUAAUGGUAAUUUGCUUGCUGACAUUUAAAAAAACAACUCGUAUUUAUUGACAUUAAGUAUCUUUUCCGCGUAUCAAGUGUUAUAUAAAUCGUCUAUACUUUCUUUCAUGAAACAAAAACUUGUUUACGUUAUGAACGCGUAUUCAUGAAAUAAAAAUAAAAAUAUAUAAACACAAAAAGAUUGACACUAAUGUCAGUUAAUGUCACUAAUGUCAAUACUAACCGAGCAAUUUUGUAACAUUUUAAGUGACAAAAAUUAAUUUAUACUUCAACAAUAAUGCCUAACGUGACGUUGAAAUAAAAUAAAUGAUAAUCAAUGAAAGUAAGCAAAAUAAUUUCUAGAUCAUUAC